rnacentral:lncRNA from 1 species
GAAUCUCUUCCACUCUGGUCGUGUUGAUACCUGAUGCAGCCAGGUCCAUUGCAGUGACACAGUGCCCUGCAGCCUCUAGCUGUGUUUUCACCUUGUACCAACUCCAUGCGCCGUGGCAGAGCGUAUGCACAAGCACAAAAUGCUUUUGGUUCGUCUUCUCCAUUGCCGUUUUUUUUAUUUCAGCUUCUUGGUACAACACUUAAAUUGGCGGUUAGUUUCCCUCGUGCUCGAAUUCCUGAGAAUGAUAAACUAACAUUACAUUGACUGUUAGGUUUUGGUCUUUCUCUGUGAUCCCGAAAAUGAUACACCAACUUUACAUUGACUAUUAGUUCAUGGAGUUAGUUGGUUGGUGAAUCUUAGAGAACGUAAUUAUCUCUUAAACUGAUGCUUGAUGAAUAAGAUGUUUUGUUUUUAUGUCAGUUAAAAUGUGAAUGAAAAAGUUGUUAUAUUCGAGUGAUUUUAUUUGCUUUGGCGAAAUAGAUUAUGUUUAAAUUGCACUUUCAAUGUUGAGAAGAUUUCAUAGGAAAACUGCGAUGGAUUGAGUUUAUUUAUAAUUGGUCCCUUGAGUUGGUUUUUGUGAAUUUGUGAUGCAUUAAUUUGGAGCAUACUCUUUCUGUAUUUCCCCAAUUUUCCUCUUUGGGGAUUUGCCGUGGCUGAGCAUAUAAGUCAGAGCAAUUCAUUGGUUUUUAUGACUAUUCUCUAUCCAGUGAAGUGUUCGAGUUUGAGGGUAGCAAAUGUUUUGUUGUUUACAUCUUGCAUACAGAAAUUUCUCUAGGAUAUUGGUUAUGGUGAUGAUCUAUUUAUGUCAGACAUGUUUCUAGAGUCUUUGUGUGUUAUUAUGUGUGCUGUAUACGAUAAAUAAAUAUAUGGACAGAAAAAAUGUUGUUUUAGCAGUGCGUAUGGUUGUUGCUAAAGAUAUGCUGCACAAUGCAGCUAAAUAUGCAUAAACGUUCUCUUUAUUUAUUUAAAAGUAUCAAUUGCAUAGUUCUCAAUUCUCAUACAUGUACAUGUAUUUUCAUAUAGCUUAAUUACUGUGGGGGAUGCUGUAGUCCAUAACGAAUCUGUGGUGAUGAUCUCAGGUUGAUUUAUGUAUAUUUAGCUGCAAUUUCCAAGAGACGAGCACAGAGUUCUUGAGGCUUGGAGUUCAUAGCCAUAUGAUCUGCAUCUUUGAUUUCCAUGACUUCUUUUGGCGGAAAGUUGCUGAUUAUCCAACGCUGGGUUUCCACAG